rnacentral:rRNA from 1 species
CCAAUAGCGUAUAUUAAAGUUGUUGCAGUUAAAAAGCUCGUAGUUGAAUUUCGGGGUCUAUCCAUUGGUCGGGCUUUAUUGUCCGUACUGGUGGGAUGGGUUCCUACCUUCUGAAUAACCGGCAUGCCAUUCAUUUGGUGCGUCGGGGAAGCAGAGCUAUUACCUUGAAAAAAUUAGAGUGCUUAAAGCAGGCUAGUGCUUGAAUAGAUUAGCAUGGAAUAAUAAAAUAGGACGGCAUGGUUCUAUUUUGUUGGUUUCUAGGAUCACCGUAAUGAUUAAUAGGGAUAGUUGGGGGCAUUAGUAUUCAAUUGUCAGAGGUGAAAUUCUUGGAUUUAUUGAAGACUAACUUCUGCGAAAGCAUUUGCCAAGGAUGUUUUCAUUAAUCAAGAACGAAAGUUAGGGGAUCGAAGACGAUCAGAUACCGUCGUAGUCUUAACCAUAAACUAUGCCGACUAGGGAUCGGACGAAGUUAAUUUUUUAAUGACUCGUUCGGCGCCUUACG